CAACCCUCGGCUCCAGCCGGUUUUGAGCGCGCCUGGCCAUCACGGCCCUGGCUAGCUUUAAAGUUGUAAGCUCUGCUGACCGCUCCUGCUGAACCAGAACAAUAGUAAAAUUUAUUCUACUUGUUCGCAAGGCAAAGCUCUGGCGGUUCGGCCUGAACAAAACCUACCCAACCUAAG
rnacentral:misc_RNA from 1 species